rnacentral:lncRNA from 1 species
GAACCAUCAUCAAAAUAAAAAAUGGCAUGGGAAGGAAGAAAAAAAAAAGGGGGGGCCAAGGAAGAAAAGGAAGAAGAAAACACGAAUGAGAGAAGAGGAAGGAAGAAAGAAAAAGAAAAUAAAAAAAAAGUUAGUUUUAGUCUUUAAAAAAUAUAAGAAUUUUAUUUAUUUAUAGUCAAAAUCUUUAAUUAAAAUUAACUAUUAAAAUAAUUAUUUUUUAGUUCGAC